rnacentral:lncRNA from 10 species
AUCUUAGUCAUGGUUCAAGACGAGUGACAAGUUACCACCUAUUUGCAAUUCAAGGAGAAUAUAAGACAGAGAAGAAAGCUGUGAAUGAAUUUCAUUUGAUUAGCAAUAGAUUGGACACUCUACUGAUCUUGCCUCUCUACAACCUCUCUUCCACCUGACCUCUAAAUGUUGAAGUGUUUCAGGAAUUGUCUUAGACCUUCUUCCUUAUCUACACUUCCUCUCCAAGUGAGUCCAUAGAAUUCUAUGACCUGGAAACUCCCCAGUUUUUCUCUCUAGAAAUUCUCGACUUUAGUCUCAUAUAUCUGGUUGUUGACUUGACAUCUCUACUUGGAUGUCUCUGAGAUACCUUAAACUCAAUAUGUGUAAAAUAUAUAUAGCUCUUGAUUUUCCAUUCUGCAAAAAUACCAUUCAUUUCUUGGCCUUUCUCCUCACAGUCUUUGGCACUACAGUUCACCUAGCUGCACAAACCUAAAACUUGGGAGUCAUCUUUAUUUAUUUUUCUGUAGCAUCUUCAUUCAAGUUCAUCAACCCAACUUCUCUGUACUAUAAAAUUAAAAUAAUACCUUUUUAGUAACAUGGAGGAUUAAAGGAGUUAAUAAAUAAAUGUAGCCUUUGAAUAGUGCCUGGCACAUAGUUAACACAAUAUAAUUGUAGCUACUACUGCUACUGUUGUUAUUACUUUUUAUCCCCUACAGCAUCAACCCCCUGCGGCAAGCCACCACCUUUUUCAUGGACCCCUAGCUUUCUGAUUUCUGGG